UCACCUGUGUUGGGAAUUAAAAUGACAGAAUGGAGCAGCCAAAAAAUGUUGAAAUCAAAGACAGGGAGUGGAUGGAAGAAGGGAAAACAUAUUGGACAUUGGUGGGUAUGGAAAGGGAAAGAAAAAAGAACAAUUUGUCAACAUUUUGUGGAUUUUUGUACAGUAAAAAAAAGACUUGGGGUAGUGCGGUCAAAUAUUCACUUCCUUUCAGAUUUCUGUUUUUGCCUUGUCGUCACAUCUAAAUGUUUUAGAUUAUUAAACAAAUGUAGCAUCAGACAAAGAUAAUUUAAUUAUAAUUAUAUUUUCACACAGAGUCACGUUGGUUUGAAAAGUAUUGUCACUUAAUUCACCAAGUCAACAUUUGGAAACUGACUUUUGCAUUUACUCAUGCUACUUGUUUAACUUAAAUUUUUACUUGAUUAUAAAUAUUUAAGUGUGACAGACAAGCAAAAACAGAAAAUAUAUCUGCAAGAGGGAAAUACAAACCACUGUUACAGGAACAAAAGUGGGUGUUUCAAGAGCAACGAGAAUCCUGUGAAAGUUGUUUUCUACACAUUUUUUGAGCUGAUUCAUUACACGUCUCUCACACUAGAGGGGGACAUAUUUCUAUGGCCAGGAUGAAAACAGAAAGCACACAGACUAAAUAAGCCAACGGAAUUGACUUACUUCUCUACAGCAAGCAAGCAAAUGGACCUACUAAAAACCUUUUAUUUGUAAGUGGUCUUUUUCUGGCUUACAUGAUUGACUUUGGGGGAAAGGGCAUGCACUAAAAGUAUGCUUUCAUGAUACUGUAAGGCUCUUCAGAUGAAAGCAUUCCCUAAAUGGAAUGCAUAAUUGAAAACAUUUUAUUUUGGAAACAUCUAAACUACAAAGAUGAUGAUUUCAAGAGUAGGAAUAACAGAAGUUUCCUGGACAAGAGAUGAAAUCCAGUGAGAAAUUCCUACAAAACCUUAUCCUGGAAAGCCAAGCUUUCCUUUUUUUCUAAGUCCCUUGUGACCGCUAACAGUGCUCAUAGUGCCAAUACACUGCACCAGCUAAGACUACACACUUUCAGGUGGAGUUAAUCGUCCCUCUGCUCCAAAACUGAAGAGCAGUGACCGAUCACCAAAUGCCUCAAGAUUAGGUUCGAACUGAUCACUUGUGAGACCGGACAACAUGUAAAGCAGCUCUCACCCUCAGCUGGACCCACACAAAAGAUGAAGGACCCCCGCAAACGCUUAUGUGCAGAACCGUGACAGUCGCGCACACUCUGCCUUACACGAGACAGAAGCGCGCACACAUGCAGGGGGAAAUCAGAGGGGCUAUUCACUUUGCUGAAAAGACUCCUCAUUGAACUGUUCAAAGACCCAGGCAGGAAACAACCAGCACCAGUGUGUUCCACUGUGAACGUACAUGAGUGUGUGUGUUAGCAGUAUAGCAAUAGUUCUGAUGAAUGUGUGGGUGUGUGUAUGUGACUGUGUCCUCCACCGCUGCCUAACGAUUGUAAAUUGCGUGGCUGCAAUUUCCUGAGUGCUGUGCGCUCGCUUUGUCCUCUUAUGUGCAGAUGAAUAGGCAGCUCCUCCGCUGUGAUGAGAGCCUGUAACUGCAUCUCUUUCUGCUCAUGUGUUUCGGUGGAGAUUCAUUUACUAACAAGAAGUGCAUCCCUAUUGGGUUGCUGGUGUGAUGUGUCUGCCACAGUAAUAAUACUCCUUUAUCUAGUUAUUGUGGAUUUUUUUUUUAUUGUCUGUCACUGGACUAUUUUUCUGUCUUUCCACAGGUUUCUGCUUCCUGUUUUUUUUUUUCCUUUUUUUGGUACCCACUCUAAGAGAUGACUUGUAGUGUUGCUUGUCUCUGAUGGCCUCACAAUAUAAUCUGGACUGAGUGUGAUCCAUUCAUUUGGCCUCACAUGCCACAUUAUGCCUUUAUGUGUUAACUGAUCUGAUGGGAUCAGAUUUUAAUGUGCCAUAUUUAACCCAUUUAUCUACUUUUUGUCUGUCUGAUGAGUUGAUCCUGUCUCCUCUAAAUGUAUGUAUAAGCCACCUCAUUCGAUCGUGUGACCUGGUUGGCUUUGUGGCGCUUCGCUGACAGAAAAGAGGCCAUGGCCGGCGUUCAGAUGGCAGGCGGCCCUAAGAACUCUAGCUGGACUAGCUGGAUGCCCCACUGCUGGCCCAGCGGUAAACCCCUGUUUCAUCCUUUCCCUCCGAAAAAUCCUGCACACAGACGCAGGACGAGCAUCUGUGCUCGUUGCCCUACUUCACAAGUUUUCCCUUGCCUCCGCGACUCACAACUGAAAACACACACAAAAAUCCUUCAAAUAUUCUCUGUCACUGUACCAAUUGCAUGAUCAUAUCCUUCUUCCAUCUGACCCCAUAAGGAACCCAUUGGCAGCAGACAUGAAGAAUCCUGCCAUGUUCUCAGUAAAGCCUGAAUAAAUCUCUAAACCCCCCCAUAGCUCCUUUAAUUUACUGACUAAACACUGACACCGUUAUCUCCUUCUAUCCUGUGAAACAUCCUGAACAAUAUGGACUCAUUUACCCAAUGAUUACCAUCCCAUUGCUAAAUGCCAUCCAGAACAUAUUCUAAAAUAAUAAUGUUGUGCCUGUCAUUUUUCCAAAGUAUCGUUGGUACAGACGGCGUUUGAUUUGCAGUCCAUGAACAACUUCAUUGGGUUAAGGUUAGGAAUAAAUGGUACACUUUUUAUUUCAAUGCAUGUUUAGAGACACAGAGUUUAGCGGAAAAUUAGAUAAAUAAUUUUCCUUUGACUGAAAACUAAAUAAACUUCUGCAGAGUAAUUGCAAUGUGAUAUUCUGUAUGGAAUGUGGUAAGUAGGUUUAAUUAUUACAAAUACUUUUUCUUUGAACUACACCUAAAAAAUGGCCAUUACAUUUUCAUAUAAUUUUUCAGUUUGUCCCAUUACAAGAUUUCCAUUUAAAUAAGACUUUAUGUGCCAGACCAACACUGCACAAUGUUAAUACUGAGGUUUGCAAAAUUAGAAAUAUGAAAAUUGUGCAUAUAAUGCAUUUUAUAUUCAACAAUUAGAGUUGGAUGUUCUUUGGGUGUUUAUUUCUACCAUCUAAAGAAUAAAGUGUUUGCUGAUUCUACAAGAUAAAAUAGCUAAAACUCAGUUUGGUUAGAAGAGUACUUGUGAACAUUUUAAAGUCUUGCCUCGUAGUGAAUUUUAUUUGAGUCGAGACUUUGGUACACUUUGAAUAUUUUAUAUUCAAAGUGUAUAUUCUGAGUACACUAAAUGCUUCCAUUGUAGAUUUGGUUGUACUUCCACCACAAUCUCAAGUCUUUUGUAAUAUCCAACUGGUUUACUUAAAUGGUAUAAGCCCCAUUCAUCUUCCCAGCACAUCUGAUCAUCGUCUCUACAGAUCCCAAAAGCAUGAUACUGCCAUCACAAAUUGUAUUGAAAGGGUUGUGUGUCUCCCUUAAAACCUUCCCCCCUCAACUUUCACCCGUUCAAUAUGAAAGCAGCACAUAAGGUUCCAGGUCUCCUAUGACCAGAGUACCUCCUCCUUUAUGUUUGUGCUGUCACCAACAUGGCUCAUGGCAAACUCCAAAAUAGGACUUCUAAUGGCUUUCUUUCAACAAAAGCUUAUAUAAUGCCACUCUUAAAAAAGAAUGCAAAAUAUUAAAGACUAUCACCCAAAACAUACUACACAAAAAUUUUGCAUUGGAAAGGAAACUGUCAACAUAUGUGAGUUUCUGUUAAAGACGUUCCAAAUGUAAUUUUAUGCAACACUGGAGAUGAUCACACCACUUUCUCAAAAGGGCAAUGUAGACUAGAUACAUGUGCAGUAAGUUGUUUUUUUUAGUUUCCAUGACUACAGUAGUACACAGAAAGGGUAUUGUCCAGUUCUGUGCUUCCAGGCUCUCCAGAAUGUUAUAGGUGACAUUUGAGUUACUUGAAGAGGAAGUCCAGAGAAUUCCAGUCUGAACAAGGAGGCGAUGAACUGGAACUUGUGAGCUUGAUUGCUUUGAGGAGAGAGGAAUGGCUAGGAGAAAGCUCUGGUUGAAAGACACCCUUAUGAAACCUCAUUAAAUCAUAAGCAACAUAAGGUUCAGGUUAGCAUUGGACAGCGGGAUCACCAUCCAGAUUAUGUUGAGGUUGGUGAGGGCAGCGCUGGUGGUAAAGGAGCAGGGCAGGAUGGCCGUCUGGCCCCGAGCCACCUGGAUGCUGCUCUGGGACACGGUCACUUCCAGGGCCCGGACACACACUGCAGGAAUAAAUAGGAGGAUGUAAUGGCUGGCUGGAGCAUGUUCCAGUCAACUACUGGAUGACAUGGAACAACCCGGACAAGCUAAGAGCAUCUGAUGUACUGCCUGUUGAUCCCUGCUUGCCUGUCUGCCUGAAACCUCCAGGACUUCCUACGCUUUCAUUCUGUUGGCAGACAUCACAAGCCCUGCAGCUUCACUGAUGGGCCAAGGGGAGAUAGGCUGCUGGGCUCUGUUUUGGUUCAUGGGAGACAUGCUCAUGAAGAAGACUCCCUAUGAAUUAUGCAGCCAAUUUCACUUAGAGGCAUUAUAUUCCCCUGUAAUGCCAAUAUGUAUCAUUCAGCAGCCUGAUUCUCCUCUUUAGUUCAUUCGCACAACGUAUGACGUGAGACAUAAACUCCUCAGGUUGUCUGCAUCAUUACAUCACUAUUGAGGCCCCAUUACCUGUCGUGACAUGCACAACAGGAGGGCGUCAUUAUAAAUGCAAUAA